UCCCAGCCACGAUCGACUCUGAACUUCUACUGCAAGCGGUCUACUCCGAACUUCUACUGCAAGCGGUCUACUCCGAACUUCUACUGCAAGCAGUCUACUUCGGCUCUCUACUAUAAGCGAAUUCCUUUCGAACUUAUAUAACAAGCGAAUUUCAGCCAAGCUUCUUCAAUAAGUGGUCCCCAUCCGGACUUCUACAAGAACCGGACUCCGUCUGAACUUCCGUAGUGGAUGGAUUUCGAAUGAACUUCUACAAUGGACGGGCUCCAAC
rnacentral:lncRNA from 1 species